AUUGAACGCUGGCGGCAUGCCUUACACAUGCAAGUCGAACGGUAACGCGGGGCAACCUGGCGACGAGUGGCGAACGGGUGAGUAAUGUAUCGGAACGUGCCCAGUUGUGGGGGAUAACUGCUCGAAAGAGCAGCUAAUACCGCAUACGACCUGAGGGUGAAAGCGGGGGAUCGCAAGACCUCGCGCAAUUGGAGCGGCCGAUAUCAGAUUAGGUAGUUGGUGGGGUAAAGGCUCACCAAGCCAACGAUCUGUAGCUGGUCUGAGAGGACGACCAGCCACACUGGGACUGAGACACGGCCCAGACUCCUACGGGAGGCAGCAGUGGGGAAUUUUGGACAAUGGACGCAAGUCUGAUCCAGCCAUGCCGCGUGCGGGAAGAAGGCCUUCGGGUCGUAAACCGCUUUUGUCAGGGAAGAAACGCUCUGGGUUAAUACCUCGGGGUAAUGACGGUACCUGAAGAAUAAGCACCGGCUAACUACGUGCCAGCCGCCGCCGUAA
rnacentral:rRNA from 1 species